UGUAUAUGCCCAUGGGGGUUACCUGUCCUGAAUAAACAACCGUCCCCGCAGGGCCCUGGUGUUCCCCAUCCACCCACCCCACCUCAGCUCUCUGACUCAGGGGCUACAAGGCCUCCUGCUCCUGAGAGGAGAUGAAUACACCCAAUCAAACCAGUGCUCUCUGUCCUGGCCCUGUAUCAACCCGCUGAAGAAUGGCAGCAAAUCAGUAGUUUGAUUAUGUAAAGUAAAACUACAGGAGGGGCAUACAUGGUACGUAGGCACGUAGUAGUGUUAAAUCCUGCAUACAGGACAAGAUGGUACAGGAGAUAAGGGCAGGAAAUAUCAGAGUGGCAUGCACAGACAGUGUUCUCUGCUUGUUUUCACUUUUGUCAGAU
ensembl:lncRNA